rnacentral:lncRNA from 1 species
CGGUUUUCUUUUGUUGUUUAGUGAAUCGAUCCAGGUUGUUGUACUGAAAGUGGGAAGCAAAUGAAUCGAGUAGCGAACCUGUAGCAGUAGAAAGGAUGUACUAGAGGGAAAUUAAAAUCCAUGUUCCUAAGGACAGAUGAAGCGAUGGAUAGCUCGUGGUGGUAUUUCGCUUCGUUUGCUUUUUUAGUGGCUUGUUGCCUCUCGUAGGCCAAAAUUCAGAUCUCAAUAAAAAUAAAGCAGUGCCGAUCGUCAGUGAAUAGGCUUUCGCCUGUCCCUCUCAUCAUAGGUUUCAUUCCUUGCUUCUCUUCACUUCAAUCGGAAUGCUCUUCUUUUGAUAACUACCUUUCAUUAGUCAUUAGUAUUGGAAAGCUCUGUCCUUUCUUUGUAUUGGGCACGGUUAUUCUUUGGGACUUCGGCUGAGCCGUACCUUUACCUUCUUGGGUUGAGUUCGAUACUCAUGUCUAUUAGUAACAAACUUGGGGCAGCUUAGCAAGUUUAGCGACAAAUGAAGCAUGCUCGGUUUCUUGAUCAGUUUUCUCCUUAAAGUCACACG